rnacentral:ncRNA from 1 species
AAAUGGAUUUCCAAUGAUUUUUUAAUAAUCCAUUUAUAUAAAAGGGCACAUUCAUCAUUAGUCACAUAGAAUUUGGAUAAACCCAACAACCUUCCAUCCAAAGUGAACAAAAUUGAAACCCAUUUUGGGAGUUGUUGGUGCCUCAUCCUAUAAUUGACGACAAUGUUAGGAAACCUGAAGACGUCGUCAGGGGACCUAGAAAGAGUUAUCUUUUCUUUUUAACAACUUGCCCACCCUGAAAUCGGCUCAACUGGAGAUAGGGUCCAGCAGUUGGAAGAGCAUUGCACACCUUGCGGUGUCCAGUGCACCCUCGACGACCCUUCAAAAUUUGGAGGAUCGAGUACCGUCCAUGCCCAGUCAUACUCAUAACCGCAUUAGGUCUCCAAGGUGAACAACCUCU